AUUGAACGCUGGCGGCAGGCUUAACACAUGCAAGUCGAGCGGGGGAAGGUAGCUUGCUACCGGACCUAGCGGCGGACGGGUGAGUAAUGCUUAGGAAUCUGCCUAUUAGUGGGGGACAACAUCUCGAAAGGGAUGCUAAUACCGCAUACGUCCUACGGGAGAAAGCAGGGGAUCUUCGGACCUUGCGCUAAUAGAUGAGCCUAAGUCGGAUUAGCUAGUUGGUGGGGUAAAGGCCUACCAAGGCGACGAUCUGUAGCGGGUCUGAGAGGAUGAUCCGCCACACUGGGACUGAGACACGGCCCAGACGCCUACGGGAGGCAGCAGUGGGGAAUAUUGGACAAUGGGGGGAACCCUGAUCCAGCCAUGCCGCGUGUGUGAAGAAGGCCUUAUGGUUGUAAAGCACUUUAAGCGAGGAGGAGGCUACUUUAGUUAAUACCUAGAGAUAGUGGACGUUACUCGCAGAAUAAGCACCGGCUAACUCUGUGCCAGCAGCCGCGGUAAUAC
rnacentral:rRNA from 1 species